CGCUCCGGUUGCUUAGUGGUCAGAGCGUAUGUCUGAUGCGGGAGGUCCUGGGUUCGAUCCUCAGCCGAGUUA